rnacentral:rRNA from 1 species
UGUAUAUGUAUGANGUUGUGAUGCGAGUUACUCUNUGUAGUAUUGCUUGCACGUACUUNUACAUUUAUUGGCAAGAUGUUGUCGGCGUGCACUUCUCCCCUAGUAGAACGUCGCGACCCGUUGGAUGUUGGUCUACGACCCGAGUGGUAGACUUUAAUAUUUUNA